rnacentral:rRNA from 2 species
CACCGCGGUUAUACGAGCGACCCAAGUUGAGAGACAACGGCGUAAAGAGUGGUUAAGAUACUAAUAAACUAAAGCCGAACGCCCUCAAGACUGUUAUACGUUUUUGAAGGUAAGAAGUUCUACCACGAAAGUGGCUUUACUAACCCUGACCCCACGAAAGCUGAGAAA